rnacentral:siRNA from 1 species
AGGGUCUAAUAAACGUGGCGUGUC